rnacentral:rRNA from 1 species
GAGUUUGAUCGUGGCUCAGAUUGAACGCUGGCGGCAGGCCUAACACAUGCAAGUCGAGCGGAUGACGGGAGCUUGCUCCUUGAUUCAGCGGCGGACGGGUGAGUAAUGCCUAGGAAUCUGCCUGGUAGUGGGGGACAACGUUUCGAAAGGAACGCUAAUACCGCAUACGUCCUACGGGAGAAAGCAGGGGACCUUCGGGCCUUGCGCUAUCAGAUGAGCCUAGGUCGGAUUAGCUAGUUGGUGGGGUAAUGGCUCACCAAGGCGACGAUCCGUAACUGGUCUGAGAGGAUGAUCAGUCACACUGGAACUGAGACAUGGUCCAGACUCCUACGGGAGGCAGCAGUGGGGAAUAUUGGACAAUGGGCGAAAGCCUGAUCCAGCCAUGCCGCGUGUGUGAAGAAGGUCUUCGGAUUGUAAAGCACUUUAAGUUGGGAGAAGGGCAGUAAGUUAAUACCUUGCUGUUUUGACGUUACCGACAGAAUAAGCACCGGCUAACUCUAGUGACAGCCGCCG